ensembl:lncRNA
AUGCUACUGAUUGCAACAGUUUGUCACCUAAUGCUUAUGACGGGGCUGCAUUUCAAAGCACGGUUCUGCACGGAUGUGGUAAGAUUCAGUUUGAAACAGGAAACACCCAGGUUCAUACUGCUCUCAUUAGUCCUUCAUCUGACUUCAAGCAAUAUCUAUCAGAAUGGAGAUGGACUGAGAGGCCUCGUUAAAGGUAUGAUUGACGUCCAAAGCCAACAAGGAGUUCUCCUUGCCAUCAUUUCUUUGACCUGCCUUGGUUGUGUUUAUGGUCUCUGUCUGUGCUGCAGAAAGAAAUCUUCUAUGCGACAAGAGGACAAUGACCUGUAUGACCAAGAUGAUUUCAAUCAGGACGGUAAAUUUACUGAUUGCAGAAAACCUACAACAGUCCUAAGACCAACCCAAAGAGCGAUGCCUUCAACAUCAAGGCUGUCAACGAUGAACAGGCUUGUCAAUAGUGACAUCCACUGGAGUUAUCAAAACCUUCCAGAUGUAAAAAAUGGCAUCAUGGAACCAACAUAUGUGGACCCAAUUCCAAAUUCAAUUUAUGCAAACGAUGAUGACACAGAAGGAGAUCCAGGAACAUACGAGAAUAUUUUUCCAACAAAAAAAGUGCAACAUGACUCAGAUAGCUGUAAUUAUGUAAACUGGGACAUUGCAAAUGAGGAUGGUAAUAUAUUCAUUAUUAAACCAAUAGCAUUGAUAAAACAUUUUACAAUUGAUUCAUGAGACAACGGCGAUCACUUUUUUCUUUCUCCUUUAUUCAGAUGAACCAGACUACGUGAAUGAUAUGACACAGUGAAAAGGAAUGAUAUAUAUUUUUUUUUUGUAUCAGAAUUUCAAGACUUUUUUUGAUUUUCACAUUUUGAUCUCAGUGGCAUUUAAUGUUAUUUAAUUAAAGUGUUAAAAAGUGUACUACUUGACCUUUUGAAGUAGUCAAAUAAGAUUAAGUGUGGAUGUGCGUAGUCAUCUCUGCUGAUCAAUAAACAAUGAUUUAAUUAACCGUCA